GGUUCAGUGGUCUAGUGGUUAUGAUCUCUGUCUUACACACAGAGGGUCCUCAGUUCGAUCCUGGGCUGAACCA
rfam:Neolentinus lepideus HHB14362 ss-1 unplaced genomic scaffold NEOLEscaffold_29, whole genome shotgun sequence.